UACGGAGGGUGCAAGCGUUGCUCGGAAUUAUUGGGCGUAAAGGGCGCGUAGGCGGCAUGGCAAGUGGAUGGUGAAAUCCCUCGGCUUAACCGAGGAACUGCCGUCCAAACUGCUUCGCUUGAGACCGGGAGAGGUGAGUGGAAUUCCCAGUGUAGCGGUGAAAUCGUAGAUAUCGGGAGGAACACCUGUGGCGAAGGCGGCCACCUGGACAACAACUGACGCUGAGACGCGAAAGCGUGGGUAGCAAACAGG
rnacentral:rRNA from 1 species